rnacentral:sRNA from 12 species
UGACCGCCACAAUGAUCGUGGUUAAAAGGCCAUACGGACAGCCGGGUCAAAUGCCGA